rnacentral:rRNA from 1 species
CAGCAGGCGCGAAAACUUUGCAAUACACGAAAGUGUGACAGGGCUAUCCCGAGUGCCAUCCGCUGAGGAAGGCUUUUACCCAGUCUAGAACGCUGGGGGAAUAAGGAGAGGGCAAGUCUGGUGUCAGCCGCCGCGGUAAUACCAGCUCUCCGAGUGGUGUGGAUGUUUAUUGGGCCUAAAGCAUCCGUAGCUGGCUAAGUUAGUCCCUUGUUAAAUCCACCGAAUUAAUCGUUGGAUUGCGGGGGAUACUGCUUGGCUAGGGGACGAGAGAGGCAGACGGUAUUUCCGGGGUAGGGGUGAAAUCCUAUAAUCCCGGGAAGACCACCAGUGGCGAAGGCUGUCUGCUAGAACGCGCCCGACGGUGAGGGAUGAAAGCUGGGGGAGCGAACCGGAUUAGAUACCCGGGUAGUCCCAGCUGUAAACGAUGCAGGCUAGGUGUUUGGACGGCCACGUGCCGUUCUAGUGCCGCAGGGAAGCUGUUAAGCCUGCCGCCUGGGGAGUACGAUCGCAAGAUUGAAACUUAAAGGAAUUGGCGGGGGAGCAC